UUCCAACAAAUACAAGAUUUUUUUGCUACACACAAGUGUUUGAUUAGCAACAUCUAGCUGUGAUAUCAAAUCAUGAUAUUAAUUGAGAAGAAAAAUUGAUGUUAGGACAAAACUCUUUAAUCAUGUAGUUUGUUGUCUCUUGACAAGACACCACAUACUAAAUAGUUUGCAUUGUACAUGUGAUCGUGCAAGAAGUGCAGUGAUAACUACAACAGUUCUCAUAAUUUUUCCUUAACAUCUUACAAGCAGAAACAGAUUACACAAAGAGUUUCAACAAUUAACAGCUCUGCAUGUCUCUCUGUCUCCCUUUCAAAUACAGAUGUUUGGGCUAAAAGUGAAGUGAUUCUGGGCUGCAAUAUGAGCUCGUAUAAAAGGAUCAUGAUCAUUUUGUACUCCAGAUGACAAGAAGAGCUCCUCGCAGGCAACAGCAUGAUGGAUAGGACACCGAAUGAUUUACUAUUUCAGAAUUACUUCCUUCUUUAAGGGACUUGAAAAUUCUCUUCAACUUUCUAGCACAUUUGGCGAGUUUCUCCAUUAUUCUCUCAGGCUUCUGAGCUGCUGCACUUCCCAUU
rnacentral:lncRNA from 1 species